AUGAAAUCAUCACAAACAAGCCCUCAGCUGGAAAAACUGAAAGCGUCUUCUCAGAAAAUACGUUUUCUAGAAUGGAAAACGCAUGUUGGCCCCAAGAAGACCAGAGUACGCUUUCGUAAGGGGAAAGCGCAGACGGGCAAAUCGCGCGUCCACUUAUCCACGCCAGCUUCGCCGCAUCAACCCCCUGCGCGGCUGACGGGUGGGGUCGCGGGGCCCACUGCUGAGCUGGCGUCGGUGGCGUCAUCUCCCUCCUCUUGCCCAUGCCUGCCGCGGCAGAGUCGGACCCGACGAGGCCUGCCGGAGCUACGGGGCAUCUCUGGCGGCGCUCCGCCUAUUGAAAUGCUCAGCGGAUUGAGCCGCAUCUAG
rnacentral:rRNA from 1 species